AUUCAGAUGACGGGUCCCAAAUAGGACCAGACGCGCGUCAUGGAU
rnacentral:hammerhead_ribozyme from 1 species